rnacentral:rRNA from 1 species
UACGGAGGGAGCUAGCGUUGUUCGGAAUUACUGGGCGUAAAGCGCACGUAGGCGGCUUUGUAAGUUAGAGGUGAAAGCCUGGGGCUUAACUCCAGAAUUGCCUUUAAGACUGCAUCGCUUGAAUCAUGGAGAGGCGAGUGGAAUUCCGAGUGUAGAGGUGAAAUUCGUAGAUAUUCGGAAGAACACCAGUGGCGAAGGCGGCUCGCUGGACAUGUAUUGACGCUGAGGUGCGAAAGCGUGGGGAGCGAACAGGA